CCAAUGUGGACACCCCGGGAGGUCACUCUCCCCGGGCUCUGUCCUGGUGGCCUAUGGGAGCAUAGGGCUCUGCCCCAUGAUGUACAGUCCCUUUCCACAACGUUGGAGAUGAAGCUGGGCCUUGAGUCUGCGCCUGCAUAUUCCUACAGCUUCUCAGAGUCCUAUGGACGAUGACUGAGGAGACAAACCAUGCAGAGAGACAUCU
rnacentral:snoRNA from 1 species